rnacentral:rRNA from 1 species
GUUUGAUCAUGGCUCAGAGUGAACGCUGGCGGCAGGCCUAAUACAUGCAAGUCGAACGGCAGCACAGCAGAGCUUGCUCUGUGGGUGGCGAGUGGCGGACGGGUGAGGAAUACAUGGGAAUCUGCCCAGUCGUGGGGGAUAACGUAGGGAAACUUACGCUAAUACCGCAUGCGCCCUUCGGGGGAAAGCCGGGGACCUUCGGGCCUGGCGCGAUUGGAUGAGCCCAUGUCGGAUUAGCUAGUUGGCGGGGUAAUGGCCCACCAAGGCGACGAUCCGUAGCUGGUCUGAGAGGAUGAUCAGCCACACUGGAACUGAGACACGGUCCAGACUCCUACGGGAGGCAGCAGUAGGGAAUAUUGGACAAUGGGCGCAAGCCUGAUCCAGCCAUGCCGCGUGAGUGAAGAAGGCCCUCGGGUUGUAAAGCUCUUUUGUCCGGAAAGAAAAGCGCCGGGUUAAUACCCUAGUGUCCUGACGGUACCGGAAGAAUAAGCACCGGCUAACUUCGUG